UUGUUUAAUGGGUCGAAAUGAGGCUGC
rnacentral:piRNA from 1 species